rnacentral:rRNA from 1 species
UACGUAGGGAGCAAGCGUUGUCCGGAAUCAUUGGGCGUAAAGCGCGCGUAGGCGGCCCGGUCAGUCCGUCGUGAAAGUCAAAGGCUCAACCCUUCGAAUGUCGAUGGAUACUGCCGGGCUAGAGUCCGGAAGAGGCGAGUGGAAUUCCUGGUGUAGCGGUGGAAUGCGCAGAUAUCAGGAGGAACACCAAUAGCGAAGGCAGCUCGCUGGGACGGUACUGACGCUAAGGCGUGAAAGCGUGGGGGAGCGAACAGG